rnacentral:lncRNA from 1 species
AUUGGUCAACCAGGCUCCGGCGCGCUCGGCCAAUCAGAAAGGACGAUGGGGAGCGGGGGCGGGGAGAGCGAGCGGAAAGGGGAAGCGAGCGGUGCUGGGAGUAAGGGGCCGGCGGUCGGGAGGUCUGGGCGGGGCGGGGCGGGGCGGGGCGCGAGAGGACAGAGGAGGCGGGGCCGCGCGCCUCCGUAGCCCGAGGGCGGAAGCGAGAGAGAAUGAGGAGGCAAGAGGGGAGCCGCGGCUGCGGGGAGGCUCGGGACGAGUGGGUUUGUUCCGGUUGUCCUUCCGCUGCAGACGUCCGGGGCCCAGGCCCGAAGCCGAGGGGGAAGGGCUCUCUUCCACAAAGUGUCUCAAGUGACUGGGAGGAUAGAGGAUGCAUCACCGUGAAGCUGCGUCGUCCGGAACACAAGGCCACCCCUGGUUGCUGCAGUGCAGAGAGCUGCAGGUCACGCAGCAGCUAUUAAAGGCUUUGCCUGGAAAUCACCUUCAUGACUCUGACAUUUACCGGAUGAAAGAAGUAAUAUAACUGGAGAUAAGAAAGAAGUACUCAUAUUGCCACCACUCUAACACAGCUACUGUUAUUAUUUUGGUAUAUUUCAUUUUUGCCUCUUUUCUGUACAGAAUUCUUCUCUAUAAAAUUAUGUGAUAAUGAAUACUGAUUUCCUAGUGAAAUAUUAGAUCACAAACCUUUUUCCCCACGUUGCCACAUCAUCUUCAAGGUCAUGAAUUUUAGUGUCUGUGCAAUAUUGCAACAGUUGGAAUGGCUUUACUAUGUACAUAUAAUAUUUUGAUGCACGUCAGCGGUGUAACUUCUCUGAUGACAGUUGUGUGCUUAUUCUUUCAUUUAUGCUGUGACUACAUCAACAUCUUGAUGGUUACCUUAUUUUCUAGUUUUGAUCAAGAUGUGUGACCUCACAGACACACAGUCCAAGAUUCAAUGUAGAUAGGGAAAGAAAUGUGAAAAUUUCAGGCAAUUGUUUCAUUUAAUUAUGAAAGCAUAAUCUUCACUCUUUAGAAAAAGGGACUUUUAGCGUAUAUCAUCCAUGCUGGCAGUCAGUCUUCCUUUAUAUAAUUUUUUAAAAUUCCAGAUAACUGUUCCAUUCAUUCACUUAUGCCAUCAUAAAUUCAAUGUAGUUUCUAACCAUUGUACACAGCAAAAUCCAAUUUUAUUGAGCUAUACCCCCCCCAAAAAGUCACACACACUGUAGCAUUAAGAAAAAUCCAUUAAUUCAUUUGAAAUAUUUGUAUUGAGCACUCACUGUUCCAGAGGGCUCUGCUAGGCUCUGUGUGAACACAAAGAUGUGUAAAGUAUGAUUCCUGCCACGGGGAAUUUUAAAAUCUCUGAUCAGGAACUUUUUUGUGUGUGUGUGAGCAAGAUUGGCCCUGAGCUAACAUCUGUUGCCCAUCUUCCUCUUUUUGCUUGAGGAAGAUUGUCACUGAGCCUACAUCUGAGGCAAUCUUCCUCUACUUUAUGUGGGAUGCCGCCACAGCGUGGCCUGAUGAAUGCUGCCAGGU